UUCUGGUUGAUCCUGCCGGACCUGACUGCUAUCGGAUUGAUACUAAGCCAUGCGAGUCAUUGUAGCAAUACAAGGCAUACGGCUCAGUAACGCGUAGUCAACCUAACCUAUGGACGGGAAUAACCUCGGGAAACUGAGAAUAAUGCCCGAUAGAACAUUAUGCCUGGAAUGGUUUAUGUUCCAAAUGAUUUAUCGCCGUAGGGUGGGACUGCGGCCUAUCAGUUUGUUGGUGAGGUAAUGGCCCACCAAGACUAUUACAGGUACGGGCUCUGAGAGGAGUAGCCCGGAGAUGGGUACUGAGACACGGACCCAGGCCCUAUGGGGCGCAGCAGGCGAGAAAACUUUGCAAUGUGCGAAAGCACGACAAGGUUAAUCCGAGUGGUUUCUGCUAAAGAAACCUUUUGUCAGUCCUAGAAACACUGAUGAAUAAGGGGUGGGCAAGUUCUGGUGUCAGCCGCCGCGGUAAAACCAGCACCUCAAGUGGUCAGGAUGAUUAUUGGGCCUAAAGCAUCCGUAGCCGGCUCUGUAAGUUUUCGGUUAAAUCUGUACGCUCAACGUACAGGCUGCCGGGAAUACUGCAGAGCUAGGGAGUGGGAGAGGUAGACGGUACUCGGUAGGAAGGGGUAAAAUCCUUUGAUCUAUUGAUGACCACCUGUGGCGAAGGCGGUCUACCAGAACACGUCCGACGGGUGAGGGAUGAAAGCUGGGGGAGCAAACCGGAUUAGAUACCCGGGUAGUCCCAGCUGUAAACUAUGCAAACUCAGUGAUGCAUUGGCUUGUGGCCAAUGCAGUGCUGCAGGGAAGCCGUUAAGUUUGCCGCCUGGGAAGUACGUACGCAAGUAUGAAACUUAAAGGAAUUGGCGGGGGAGCACCACAAGGGGUGAAGCCUGCGGUUCAAUUGGACUCAACGCCGGGA
rnacentral:rRNA from 1 species